rnacentral:rRNA from 1 species
UGGGGAAUAUUGCACAAUGGGCGAAAGCCUGAUGCAGCGACGCCGCGUGAGGGAUGACGGCCUUCGGGUUGUAAACCUCUUUCAGCAGGGACGAAGCGCAAGUGACGGUACCUGCAGAAGAAGCACCGGCUAACUACGUGCCAGCAGCCGCGGUAAUACGUAGGGUGCAAGCGUUGUCCGGAAUUACUGGGCGUAAAGAGUUCGUAGGCGGUUUGUCGCGUCGUUUGUGAAAACCAGCAGCUCAACUGCUGGCUUGCAGGCGAUACGGGCAGACUUGAGUACUGCAGGAGAGACUGGAAUUCCUGGUGUAACGGUGAAAUGCGCAGAUAUCAGGAGGAACACCGGUGGCGAAGGCGGGUCUCUGGGCAGUAACUGACGCUGAGGAACGAAAGCGUGGGUAGCGAACAGG